UGUCGCCUUUCAGCUUGGUCUGCACGAACUGCGCCGCCAUCUUGGACUGCGACGAGAGAGGAGCGGGAAGGAGGAGCGGGAAGGAGGAGCUCCAAGUAAUCCAUUCCAAAAGGUCUGACAAAGACUGAAUGGAACGAUAACCGAAGCAACUUCUCCGACAAGAAACAAGGGAAAUACUUCUUAUCCGUUCCAAAAGAUCUGACAAAG